rnacentral:rRNA from 1 species
UUUAACUGAAGAGUUUGAUCAUGGCUCAGAUUGAACGCUGGCGGCAGGCUUAACACAUGCAAGUCGAGCGGGGGAAGGUAGCUUGCUACCGGACCUAGCGGCGGACGGGUGAGUAAUGCUUAGGAAUCUGCCUAUUAGUGGGGGACAACAUCUCGAAAGGGAUGCUAAUACC